rnacentral:rRNA from 1 species
CGUUAGCGACACGAAGAAGACACCGGCUAACUACCGUGCCAGCAGCCGCGGUAAUACGGACGGGUGCGAGCGUUAAUCGGAAGUUACUGGGCGUAAAGACGCAUGCAGGUGGUUUGUUAAGUCAGAUGUGAAAGCCCGGGGCUCAACCUCGGAAUAGCAUUUGUAAACUAGGCAGACUAGAGUACUGUAGAGGGGGGUAGGAAGUUUCAGGUGUAGCGGUGAAAUGCGUAGAGAUCUGAAGGAAUACCGGUGGCGAAGGCGGCCCCCUCGGACAGAUACUGACACUCAGAUGCGAAAGCGUGGGGAGCAAACAGGAUUAGAUACCCCUGGUAG